rnacentral:rRNA from 1 species
UAGGGAAUCUUCCACAAUGGACGCAAGUCUGAUGGAGCAACGCCGCGUGAGUGAAGAAGGUCUUCGGAUCGUAAAGCUCUGUUGUUGGUGAAGAAGGAUAGAGGCAGUAACUGGUCUUUAUUUGACGGUAAUCAACCAGAAAGUCACGGCUAACUACGUGCCAGCAGCCGCGGUAAUACGUAGGUGGCAAGCGUUGUCCGGAUUUAUUGGGCGUAAAGCGAGCGCAGGCGGAAUGAUAAGUCUGAUGUGAAAGCCCACGGCUCACCGUGGAACUGCAUCGGAAACUGUCAUUCUUGAGUGCAGAAGAGGAGAGUGGAACUCCAUGUGUAGCGGUGGAAUGCGUAGAUAUAUGGAAGAACACCAGUGGCGAAGGCGGCUCUCUGGUCUGCAACUGACGCUGAGGCUCGAAAGCAUGGGUAGCGAACAGGAUU